UACUCUUAGCGGUGGACGACUUCGCUGAUGCGUUGAUGAAGAAUGCAGCUAGCUGCAAGAAUUAAUGUGAAUUGCAGGACACAUUGACCAUUGACACUUUGAAUGCACUUGGAUACCUGGAGCUCCAAAAAAAAAUGUAUUAGAUAGG
rnacentral:rRNA from 1 species